GACGAACGCUGGCGGCGUGCUUAACACAUGCAAGUCGAACGAAGUGGCGAACGGGUGAGUAACGCGUAAGCAACCUGCCCUUCGGAGGGGGACAACAGUUGGAACCGACUGCUAAACCCGCAAAGUGAUGAGGGGGUUGGCGUGGGAUUAGCUAGUUGGGGGGGUAACGGCCUACCAAGGCGACGAUCCGUAGCGGGUCUGAGAGGAUGACCAGCCACACUGGAACUGAGACACGGUCCAGACUCCUACGGGAGGCAGCAGUGGGGAAUUUUGGACAAUGGGCGCAAGCCUGAUGCAGCCAUGCCGCGUGUCUGAAGAAGGCCUUCGGGUUGUAAAGGACUUUUGGCAGGGAAGCGGUACCUGAAGAAUAAGCACCGGCUAACUACGUGCCAGCAGCCGCGGUAAUAC
rnacentral:rRNA from 1 species